rnacentral:rRNA from 1 species
AUUGAACGCUGGCGGCAGGCCUAACACAUGCAAGUCGAGCGGAUUUUGGGGGCUUGCUCCCAAGGUUAGCGGCGGACGGGUGAGUAACGCGUCGGAAUUUGCCCAGUAGUGGGGGAUAACGUUCCGAAAGGAACGCUAAUACCGCAUAGGCCCCAGGGGGGAAAGCAGGGGAUCUUCGGACCUUGCGCUAUUGGAGAAGCCUGCGUCGGAUUGGCUAGUUGGUAGGGUAAAGGCCUACCAAGGCGACGAUCCGUAGCUGGUCUGAGAGGAUGAACAGUCACACUGGGACUGAGACGCGGCCCAGACUCCUACGGGAGGCAGCAGUGGGGAAGAUUGGACAAUGGGGGCAACCCUGAUCCAGCCAUGCCGCGUGUGUGAAGAAGGCCUUCGGGUUGUAAAGCACUUUCAGUAGGGAGGAAAAGUUGGCGGCUAAUAUCCGUUGACCCUGACGUUACCUACAGAAGAAGCACCGGCAAACUCCGUGCCAGCCGCCGCCGUAA